rnacentral:SRP_RNA from 1 species
ACCAGGCACUGUGGUGCAUGCCUGUAGUCCCAACUACUUAGGAGGCUGAGGCAGGAGAAUCACUUGAGCCCAGGAGUUCUGGAUCAUAGUGCCCUAUGCCAAUUGGAUGUCCACACUAAGUUCAGCAUCAAUAUGAUAACCUCCUGGGAGUGGGGUCCACCAGUUGCCGAAGGAGGGGUGAACUGGCCCAGGUCAGAAAUGGAGCACGUCAAAUUCCCAUCUCAUCAAUAGUAGGAUCAAACACUUAGUGAUAUGUUACUGCAACCACAGUCUGGACAGUUAAAAUUAGAGAGAACCUGUCUU